GUUUCACAGAAUUCGUCAAAAUUAUGAAAGUUUCACUGUCACUCGAACAGCUAAACCCAAGAGUUGAACGUUCUCUGGAUAAAAUUACAAAUAUCAAAGAGAGAGUUGAUGAAAUUUUGGGCGAGAAACCCUCAUCAAGCAGCUGACCGAAGUUGAUGCAGGUGGUUCAAUAUUUACUCAAAAAUUCUAAAGACAUUUGCAUAUGUUUGGAUUUUCACAUUCUACAGAGGUGCUGUUAUUUCUGCCAUGAAUGUAGAGAAUUACAUCAACGCUUGCAAUCGAACAUCAAAAGCUGGAUUACGGCAAUUGCUUGAGUCAGAUAAGUACAUUCCUACUUUUUAUUUUGAUUUUUUGAACUGUUCACCUCAUUGCUAAACUUUGAUUGCGUAGAAGCAACAAUAAAGUUUCCGCUAACAAGACAGGUAAGUGAUAGUAGUAAGUGAGCCAACGCACGUCAUCAGAGAUCGGAUUAUUGACUAGUUGAAUACGCAUUGUAUCUGAUCACUUUGGAUAGACUUGAGAAAACACCCAUUGAAGCUUGUGUGUUUCAAUUCGCUGUUAAAGGAACAACUUUCAGACUAUGAAUUAUGUCAGGCCCCACCUGACAAACUUGAAAGACUCACUUUCAAGUGAAACAUAUUCUGCAAUACAAGAAAAGCAGGAGAAAGACCUUUGGAAGAUGAAACGCUUUCAAGCUACGUGUUAUCUGUUUUCCUUGUCACCAUCGAGAUGCUCUGCCACAAAUGUUAUGCCA